AAUGGACACACACAGGGGAUUACAAUCUCUUCUGGUGAACAAACCAACACGCACCUGGCGAGGGACAGCCCUGGGUUCUCGAGGAUUACAAAAACCUCCAGGCGCUGCAGCAGAGACUGGGGGGUAAGACUGAGGUCCUUCUGUACCGGGCGACCUUUCUGUAUUGUCUCUCACUGUUGAUGUGAUUGCAGACAGCAACGUACACACCACUCUGAAUAGUUGGGCCCAACAUUGUGUUACUUGGCAAGUUUGUAAAAUAGAUUUGAUGCUUGAGUGCAACAAAGGGACAUGAUGGCAGCAAGCAGUCUUAAAAUGGACACACACAGGGAUUACAAUCUCUUCUGGUGAACAAACCAACACGCACCUGGCGAGGGACAGCCCUGGGUUCUCGAGGAUUACAAAAACCUCCAGGCGCUGCAGCAGAGACUGGGGGGUAAGACUGAGGUCCUUCUGUACCGGGCGACCUUUCUGUAUUGUCUCUCACUGUUGAUGUGAUUGCAGACAGCAACGUACACACCACUCUGAAUAGUUGGGCCCAACAUUGUGUUACUUGGCAAGUUUGUAAAAUAGAUUUGAUGCUUGAGUGCAACAAAGGGACAUGAUGGCAGCAAGCAGUCUUAAAAUGGACACACACGGGGAUUACAAUCUCUUCUGGUGAACAAACCAACACGCACCUGGCGAGGGACAGCCCUGGGUUCUCGAGGAUUACAAAAACCUCCAGGCGCUGCAGCAGAGACUGGGGGGUAAGACUGAGGUCCUUCUGUACCGGGCGACCUUUCUGUAUUGUCUCUCACUGUUGAUGUGAUUGCAGACAGCAACGUACACACCACUCUGAAUAGUUGGGCCCAACAUUGUGUUACUUGGCAAGUUUGUAAAAUAGAUUUGAUGCUUGAGUGCAACAAAGGGACAUGAUGGCAGCAAGCAGUCUUAAAAUGGACACACACAGGGAUUACAAUCUCUUCUGGUGAACAAACCAACACGCACCUGGCGAGGGACAGCCCUGGGUUCUCGAGGACUACAAAAACCUCCAGGCGCUGCAGCAGAGACUGGGGGCAACGCAUCCGUCACCAGCAUCGCACGGACCGGCACGGGUCCACACGUUGAAGGAGGCAGAGAAGGCGGCCCUAGACAAACAGGGAUUACAAUCGCUGCCGGUGAAGAAAGUGACGCGCACCUGCUGAGGGCCGGCUCUGGGUUCUCGAGGACUACAAAGACCUGGUCCAGGUGCUGCAACAGAGACAGGGAGGUAAGACUGGGCUUCAUCUAUACCGGGCAACUUUCUGUAUUGUCUUUCAGUGUUGAUGUGAUUGUGUAUGUUGUUGUCUCUACCACUCCGAAUAGUUGAGCCCAACAUUGUGCUACUUACUGAUAUUUAUUAAUACUAUUUAAAAAAAGAAAAAAAAAAAGGUGAAAAAUGGUAAGUUUGCAGAAUAGAUUUGAUGUUUGAGUGCAACAAAGGGACAUGAUGGCAGCAAGCAGUCUUAAAAUGCACACAGUUCACAGCACAAACCCCACACUAAAGAGAACAUUAGCCAAAACAUAUUUCAAAUUAAUACAGUCCGUGCACCGCUUAAUCACAAGAGAGGGAUGCCUUGAAAAGGGAGAUUUACCUAAAAGUGUGCUGAGACAGGUUACGAAAUCAACCUAAUUUUAAAGUUUCAACACCACCUGCAAUUC
ensembl:lncRNA